UGACUCUGCAAAACACACUAAUCUUGCAAAUGUUCUGAGGCAUCUAAUAAGAACUCCAAUACCUCUCUUUAGUAACAGCUAGUAUUUCUUCAAGCUGGAAGAUUCUGCAGAGCCUCCAUCCACCCCCACAAGUUGCCAAUCCCCCAACAUUUCCACAUUCUCUCCUGGCUUCCACGCUUAUAACUAAAACAAAAUCUCAGCAUAGCCUAACAUACUGUGUGCUGCACCUGAUUGAGGAAAAGGAGAUUAUAUGCCCAAGGAACUGCAAGAUUUAGGAAGAUGUACCAGCAAGGAUCCAGGAGAGGUCACAAACCCUAGUUUGAGUUUUAAGGGUGCUUAAUCAAGGAGAUAAUAACACAAAUCUGAAUACAAAAUUAUUCAUCUCAUUGGGGUUAUUUACUUGGUACACAAGAAUUAACAUCCUGGCAAAGAUCCCAGGGGGUCCCAGAAGGCAAAGUCACUGCUAGAUGGCUAUUAGAAGCACAGAGAAAAUAAUAACUCAAACUGAGUAAAGUAGAAAUACCUGAGUUGUACUUAUAGCCAGCAGAGAAAGAAAUAAUAAUAAAGCUGACAGCAAAGAGAACGUUGGGAUAAAUACAUUAUGUGAAUCCAGGAGACUUUCAAGAGGAUCAUGGUCCAUGAGAAGACUCAGAGAAUAGGCAUUCACCAGGCCGUCAGGAAUGCACUGAUGAGACUGCCACCAGAAUCACUCAGAAGUUCAAUGGUGACUGUCCUUUGUAAGCCAGACCUGAGAGUUGGUCACAGAGAUCAUUACUAUCCAUGUGGAUGAUAGGACCACAAAGUAAUAGGGACCAGGUGGCAGUUCUUAACUGCCAAAAGCCAGAAGCCAGAAGCCAUUAUGACACAACAGUCACAAUGAUAAGCAAGGUAGGAGCAACUGUAAAAAUGGAAGCAGCUCCUGGUAGGCCUCUUUGGGGUCUAGAAACAAUAUGGCCACACCAAGAAUUACUUCUGUACCUCAUAUACCAGAUGAUAUCAAAAGCUGCCAGCUUUGGGUGGUGCUCAAAGCAUAACAGGGCUUCUCAGCAAGUCUAUACUGUGGUGCAAACAGCCCUGCCACUUGGGUCAUACAAUCUGGAAGAGCCUAUGGUGUUGGAAAUAUCAAUGAUCUUUCACUGUGGGAAGUAA
rnacentral:lncRNA from 13 species